UACGUAGGGAGCGAGCGUUUGUCCGGAUUUAUUGGGCGUAAAGAGCGCGUAGGCGGCUCGGUAAGCCGGAUGUGAAACCUCCAAGCUCAACUUGGAGCGGCCAUUCGGAACUGCUGUGGCUAGAGUCUGGUAGGGGAACACGGAAUACCUGGUGUAGCGGUGAAAUGCUUAGAUAUCAGGUGGAACACCAGUGGCGAAGGCGGUGUUCUGGGCCAGUACUGACGCUGAGGCGCGAAAGCGUGGGGAGCAAACAGG
rnacentral:rRNA from 1 species